AUUGAACGCUGGCGGCAGGCCUAACACAUGCAAGUCGAGCGAGUGGCGGACGGGUGAGUAAUGUAUGGGGAACUGCCUGAUGGCGGGGGCUAACUACUGGAAACGGUAGCUAAUACCGCAUACCAUCAGAUGUACCCAUAUGGGAUUAGCUUGUAGGUGGGGUAACGGCUCACCAAGGCGACGAUCCCUAGCUGGUCUGAGAGGAUGAACAGCCACACUGGAACUGAGACACGGUACAGACUCCUACGGGAGGCAGCAGUGGGGAAUAUUGCACAAUGGGCGCAAGCCUGAUGCAGCCAUGCCGCGUGUAUGAAGAAGGCCUUCGGGUUGUAAAGUACUUUCAGUGGGGAGGCGUUACCGACAGAAGAAGCACCGGCUAACUCCGUGCCAGCAGCCGCGGUAAUAC
rnacentral:rRNA from 1 species